GACGAACCGUGCGAACGUUGUUCGGAAUCACUGGGCUUAAAGGGCGCGUAGGCGGGCUUGAUAGUCUGUGGUGAAAGCCCCCGGCUUAACCGGGGAAGUGCCGUGGGUACUGCAAGCCUGGAGGAGGGUAGGGGCAUCUGGAACGCUGGGUGGAGCGGUGAAAUGCGUUGAUAUCCAGCGGAACUCCGGUGGCGAAGGCGAGGUGCUGGACCCUUUCUGACGCUGAUGCGCGAAAGCCAGGGGAGCAAACGGG
rnacentral:rRNA from 1 species